rnacentral:lncRNA from 1 species
GUGGUUGGAGAGCCAACUGCAGUGUCCCUAAUCGUGGAUGCAGUACCAAUGCAGUGGAUGCAGUGUCCCAAAAUGUGCAUGCAGUUUGUUGUGAUGGAGGAUGCAGUGCUCAUGAAGGUGGAUGCGGUGAACCUGCAGUAGUUGCAGUGUCUGCUACACUUUCCUUUAAUGUGGAUGCAGUGCCCAUGCUGUAGUUGCAGUGUCCCACAAGGUGGAUGUCGUAUGUUGUGAUGGAAGAUGCAGUACCCACGAAGGUGGAUGCAGUGAACCUGUGCUGAGUGCAGUGUGCCUGCAGUGCAACUUCAGCUGUAUGCAGUGUCCCUGCAUGGUUGCAGUGCCGACUGCAUUGUCCGAGAACGUGGAUGCAGUGCCCAGGCAUUGGAUGCAGUGUCCCACAAGGUGGAUGAAGUAUGUUGUGACAGAGGAUGCAGUGUCCAUGAAGAUGGAUGCUGUGAUCCUGCACUAGUUGCAGUGCCCCUUCACGUUCCCCGAAUGUGGAUGCAGUGCCCAUGCAGUGGAUGCAGUGUCCCACAAGGUGGAUGCCUUAUGUUGUAAUGGAGGGUUGAGUGAUCAUGAAGGAGGAUGCAGUGAUCCUGCAGUCAUUGCAGUGCACAUGAAGUGACACAUCAGCUUGCUGCAGUGUUCCUGCAGUGGU